rnacentral:rRNA from 1 species
UACGGGGGGGGCAAGCGUUGUUCGGAAUUACUGGGCGUAAAGGGCGCGUAGGCGGCCUUCUAAGUCGAACGUGAAAUCCCCAGGCUCAACUUGGGAACUGCAUCCGAUACUGGAUGGCUUGAAUUCGGGAGAGGGAUGCAGAAUUCCAGGUGUAGCGGUGAAAUGCGUAGAUAUCUGGAGGAAUACCGGUGGCGAAGGCGGCAUCCUGGACCGACAUUGACGCUGAGGAGCGAAAGCCAGGGGAGCAAACGGG